rnacentral:tRNA from 1 species
GGAUAUAGCUCAGUGGUAGAGUGCUUGCCUAACAUGCACAAUGCUCUGGGUUCAAUCUCCAGCAUAACCA